CGCGGAGUGGAGCAGUUGGCAGCUCGUCGGGCUCAUAACCCGAAGGUCGUAGGUUCAAGUCCUGUCCCCGCAACCA
rnacentral:tRNA from 2 species